rnacentral:rRNA from 1 species
CAGUCGCCGCGGGAAUACGUAGGUGGCAAGCGUUGUCCGGAAUUAUUGGGCGUAAAGGGCUCGCAGGCGGUUUCUUAAGUCUGAUGUGAAAGCCCCCGGCUCAACCGGGGAGGGUCAUUGGAAACUGGGAAACUUGAGUGCAGAAGAGGAGAGUGGAAUUCCACGUGUAGCGGUGAAAUGCGUAGAGAUGUGGAGGAACACCAGUAGCGAAGGCGACUCUCUGGUCUGUGACUGACGCUGAGGAGCGAAAGCGUGGGGAGCGAACAGGAUUAGAUACCCCUGUAGUCCCUGUCUCUUAUAC